GAUCCUGGCUCAGAUUGAACGCUGGCGGCAGGCCUAACACAUGCAAGUCGAGCGGAUGAAGAGAGCUUGCUCUCUGAUUCAGCGGCGGACGGGUGAGUAAUGCCUAGGAAUCUGCCUGAUAGUGGGGGACAACGUUUCGAAAGGAACGCUAAUACCGCAUACGUCCUACGGAGGAAAGACAGGGACCGUCGGUCGUCGUCGCUNUCAGAUGAGCCGUACGGUCGGG
rnacentral:rRNA from 1 species